GAAGCCUCUUGAGCGAGCUUCUCAAAAAUAUCGUUGAUGAAACUGUUCAUGAUCCCCAUAGCCUUGCUAGAGAUACCAAUAUCAGGAUGAACCUGUUUCAACACCUUGAAAAUGUAUAUCUUGUAAGUCUCUACGCUCUUCUUGGCCUUCUUCCUUUUCUUAUCAAUAGAGCCUUCCUUCGGCAACUUCUUCUCCGCUCGGGGCUUCUUCUCGGCCGGUGCCUUCUCUGCCGCCGCUGGUUUCUUCUCCGCCGGUUUCUUCUCUGCUGCCUUGGGCGCCAUCAGUUAGGUAUGGUAUUCAACGAAGCGAGAGGGAGAGAGUUUCGAGUACAAGAAUUGGAU
rnacentral:misc_RNA from 1 species